GCCAGGCGCAGUGGCACGCGCCUGUAAUCCCAGCAUCUCUGGAGGCUGAGGCAGGAGGAUCACGAGUUCAAAGCCAGCUUCAGCAGUUAAGUGAGGUGUUAAGCAACUCAGUGAGACCCUGUCUCUG
rnacentral:sRNA from 1 species